UCGGGAAUUUUGGGCAAUGGGCGAAAGCCUGACCCAGCAACGCCGCGUGAGGGAUGAAGUAUUUCGGUAUGUAAACCUCGAAAGAAUGGGAAGAAUAAAUGACGGUACCAUUUAUAAGCUCCGGCUAACUACGUGCCAGCAGCCGCGGUAAUACGUAGGGUGCAAGCGUUAAUCGGAAUUACUGGGCGUAAAGCGUGCGCAGGCGGUUUUGUAAGACAGAGGUGAAAUCCCCGGGCUCAACCUGGGAACUGCCUUUGUGACUGCAAAGCUGGAGUGCGGCAGAGGGGGAUGGAAUUCCGCGUGUAGCAGUGAAAUGCGUAGAUAUGCGGGGGAACACCGAUGGCGAAGGCAAUCCCCUGGGCCUGCACUGACGCUCAUGCACGAAAGCGUGGGGAGCAAACA
rnacentral:rRNA from 1 species